rnacentral:rRNA from 1 species
UACAGAGGUCCCAAGCGUUGUUCGGAUUCACUGGGCGUAAAGGGUGCGUAGGUGGUGAGGUGAGUCGGAUGUGAAAGCUCGGAGCUCAACUCCGAAAUGGCAUUGGAAACUACCUUGCUUGAGGGUUGGAGGGGGACUGGAAUGCUUGGUGUAGCAGUGAAAUGCGUAGAUAUCAAGCGGAACACCAGUGGCGAAGGCGAGUCCCUGGACAACUCCUGACACUGAGGCACGAAAGCUAGGGGAGCAAACAGG